rnacentral:rRNA from 1 species
AUGAAGGCAGCCUGCAUCGGUUUCAGAGGAACUUUCUGGUACCACCUCAGCUUUUUCGGCUUGCCCGAUGGAUGCCACCGCCGACACUUCUUUGCCGAGCUAUAUUAUCAUAGACAGUUCCGCCAACUAGCCGUUCAAACAUGCACCAUCUUAGAAAAGCCGUUGUGCCGCUUUAGCAGCUCAUGUGCAUUUUGUCCAGAGGAAUCCAAUAUCUUGCACCCAAGCGAUGAAGAAUUUGUGUGUGGAAAGCCAGAUCACAAAAAAGAAUUCUUCCGCAAGAAAGAUAUGCUAGUGCGGCCAUUCAAUUCUUUUAUGAUACCUCCUGAUAUAGAUAACAGCGAUGAUCCAUGA